rnacentral:lncRNA from 1 species
UCCUGAGACGCACCAGUCUAAAACACUCAAACGAGGAGCAUUCAUAUCCGUUACAGGAACAAAGCAAAAAUGAACUUGAGCGGUUGAGCCUAGACCUACUACUGGUUUAAAAAAUUUAAAGUCUCAAAUCAUCAUACGGGGAAGAACAUUCCAAUGAUUGAUGGCCAUAACCAUCAGCCAUGCAUGUUACAAAAAAAAAGAGGGCGUCGAGAAUUUCCGUGCAGCUUUGAGAGCACGAUCAGAGCUUCGUGGAGACCAUGGUACAGGAUUUCUUAUCUGAAAGCAAAUGAGGCUGCUGGAUGUUACAUCCCCCAAAACUCCAGUUCACGCCUGGCGAAUUCUUUCAUCUGCUUCUGGCUACGGAGAUCUGGUAGAAUUAUCAAGGAGAUGAUAAAUGUGUAGUUUAGGAUCAUGCACAGAAGAAACAUAUUUAAGUUCACAAAUAUACUUUCAAUUUAACAGAAUGGUGACAAGACAUCAAGCAGAUUAUAUGCACAUAAAAACAUGUAGCUUUUCGGGGAAGGUGGAACAAGACAAUAUGCAGCUUACAUCCGUCAGCAAAUAGCACAGAAACACACAAGCAAGUAAUAAUACCGAUAACACAAAUAAAUACGAAAUGUUAUCUGAAGAGAAGGUAUGACUCACAAGCACUCCCACUGCGGCGGACAUAAAUUUUCUUGAGGGGUAUUCCAUUUGCCCUAAACAAAUUUGCCAACUUAUGGACUCUCCCAUCAUCCUUUGAGCAUGUAAUCUUCACCAUUUGAAGGUCUUUGCAAGUAAAUGAUCUUCCCUGUAGUUUGAUACCUGUUUCUGAUGCCUUUCUGGUAUUGAAGUUCUUUUGCAGAUCAAGAAAGUUGUUAAGCAUGUGUUCAGGUACUCAAAACUAAAAGAUAAUCAAGUAAGCAUAAGCCCCAAAUAUGUAAUUACACAUACAAUUUUAAGUUGGAGAAAGAGCUUCUGUAUAUUAGGUGAGUGCUGCAGCAAGUAAAUUAAUGCAUCAAAGUCUGCAGCCAUACACCAUACGCCAAGGGACAGGGUCUUCAGGUUGUCAAAAGUUGGACACAUAUUCAGUUCCCUACUCAGAACCACCUACACAUUGCACAUAAAAUGAGUGUUCAGCAAAUAAACAUAGUAAUUUGAAUCAAUUUUAUAUUUCAUAUACUGAAUACAAGAGGUUUAUUUAAUAUGCAGAGAAGAAAACAAACAUACCCACCACGAAAAGGAAAAGACAUACUAUAAUGUAUUUGAAUCAACUUCAUAUUUGAAUCAACAUACUAUAAUGUAUUCAGCAAAGAACAAUAAUAAUUUGAAUCAACUUCACAUUUUACAUACUGGACAUAAGAGGUCUAUUUGAUAUGCAGAGGAAAAAAGCAUACCCAACACGAAAAGGAAAAGACAGAGAGUAAUGUGUAGCCAUGAUUAGCGCCUAUUUGUAAAAUAUGAUUCAGCAUUCUUUUCUAUAAUGUGAAGGGACGUUGCCAUUUUACGUGCAUGCUCAAAAUAGUUAAUUAUACAACAAUAUAAACAGUAAUAAGAAUACAAGAAAAUGGCAAACAUUAAUCUGAAAUAAAUAAAUGAUGAAUAAUGGUCUGUUGAAGCCACACACACUUCCAUAUCUCAUUGAUUUCACCUACUACUUUGAUGAUGAAAUGAGCUAGUACUAAUUUCUUGAUCUGAAUUCUGAACUCUUCAGCAAGUCAACUGUGCUAACCAGGGGUUGGUACCUAUGUACGAAAUGUGCACAUUGGACAUAUAUGCGUUAUAUUGGGAGCAACAUAAAUGUCUUUUGUGAAGAUCAGAAAAGGCUGCUAAAAACAAUUAUGGCUAUAACAUGGAAAUUUUCGUACUCAAAGAUAGAGAGAUCAGUAAAAGGUGCUGACAGCUAUACCUCUCCAGCAUCAGUCAACAACUCCAAAGUUCUAGCACUUGAAAGAGACCCAAGAAUAUGACGUCCACCUAAAAUCUUCCUGCCAUUGCAUUCUCUGUUUCCACCAUAGUUACCAUUUUCACUGGAAAGCUUGGCCCCUUUGUAGCCAUACUUUGCAUCAUUUGCAAUCUCACUGUAUUCACAGGUAUUGUCAUCGCUAUCGAUAUCACUACCAUAAUCAAAAUUAUCCUUGUAAUGACCGUGCGUGUAACUUUCUUCAGCAAAAGUAUGUCCAUAUCCAAACCUUAUAAAAUGAUCAUAUCCAAAAUCAUCACCCAAGGAAGAGUCAUCAUGAAUCUUAGAGCUCUCUGUCCAAUCAUUAUCAUCGCUCUCAUCCCCGUCGUCAUCAGUAGUUCCAUCACAGUCAUCUUCAUCACUGAUGUGUUCAAAGUCAUCACCCAAGAAAGAGUCAUCAAGUAUGAUAGUGCCUGUGACCAGUGACCCCAAGUUCUUGAACGAUGGGACUCGGACGUAAGGUGUGGUGAGGCGCAGAAGUAGGAGGUUCGGAGCAGCAAUGGAGAAGGCGCAGUCGAUCUUGCAUUUGAGCAUGAUUAAAGUCUUCAAAGAGGCAGACACAAUCCCAGGGCCUGUCACCAGGCAAUCCUUCAGAUCCAGCUCCUCCAAAGACGUGCAGCUAGAAGAGAGCUGCUUGAGGAUCCUGUCGUUGAGCCUGGCAUACGACAGCUUCAGCACCUUGAGGUGGCAGGAGACGAACUGCACGCGGUCCAACGACGCGAUCUCCGAGCGAUGCCCAGCGAGAUGGAUGACCCGCGCGUUGCGGUUGAUGGCGGCCCUGAUCCACGCGCUGGCGUCGUCCUCGUCGUAGCCCGCGUCCUCGUCGCCGGACCGCAGGCGGAGCGUGCCCACGGGCGCCGACGCGUCGCGGAGGAGGAAGAGGCGGUGCACGAAGUGGCGGAACUCCUCCGGCGGGUCGGCGUCGCGGCCGGAGGAGUGGUGCAGGCGGAGGUCGACGCAGGGCGCGGACGCCCAGAGGUGGCGCCACCGGCGCGCGAGCACGCAGGUGCGGACCGCCUCCCACGCCUUGAGGGACGACAUGAUGCGGUGCAGGAGCGCGUCCGGGAGGGCGCUGAGGCGGUCGGGCUUCACGGCGACCUGGACGCGGGAGCCGGGCUUCCCGCCGGCGCCGCGGCGCGGCCCCGGGCGCUGGGUGGUGCUCCGGCGCAUUUCGUCGAGCAGAAGACCUGCACGCAGGUUUAGGGUCACACGGCGCGGCCUCGUGGAGAUUUUGUGAUCUGUGGAGGAAGGGAUGGAAUGGAACUUACCAAGAGGAGAGAGACUCGGCGAAAUGGGCGGAGUUUGUUGCCGCUUUCUCGGUUUUCCACUGGCGGCUGCUUCGGAGUGAAUUGUGGAGUGGGAUGGGGUAAACUCGGUCUUCUCUUUUUUUAUUGAGAGUGAACUCCACUUGUACCCCCGUUUGUAAAUUUGUGGCAUUGUCAACAUUGAAAAAAAUAAAUUAAAUUGUGGCAGUGUAUACCGAGAGACGCUCGACGUAAGGACAGCUUCGUACGUUUUUCUUUUCAAAUAGCUUCGUACGUACGGAAUUAGAGUUACGGAUCAGCACCACAUUCAAUCUCUGUCCCCCGUCCCCAUCGCGGACACACUCACCUCAUCCGCCCCACUUCACCGGUCGACACCCCGCCCCCUCUCAACCCUCCUUAGUCGCCGCCGCCGCACUCAACUCCGAUCAUGUUGGUGCGGCCGCAUCCUCCCGGUAAGACCUAUGAGGCCCGCGCCAAGAGAGUACUGGAAGAAGGCGUGGGACUACUUGGAGUUGACCGAGGACGACGCUCACCGUAAGGUUGAAUCAGUCGUCGGAGGGACCCGCCUACCCGCCGCCCUCGAGUAUUUUUGACUCAAUGUUGAUAGCAGCCUAGCAGAAAUGGACGCCGCGCUCACGUUGGCCUUCCGAUGCACAAUAUGGUGACUCUACUAGGUUUGCUCUUACAUCCCCGUCUGCCAGCACAGGCCAUAAAACCUCGAAACAGGCUUUCGCCCCGCUUUAUAUAUAAGCAAUCCCCAAACCAAGUACACGGUCGAACGAUACACGAUGGUGAGGUAGCUCUCAUACAAUGUCGAUCCCAAGAUAAUCUAAUCAUGCAGAACACGACUACGCUACCGAAAGAAAGCAUUGGGAAAACCGAGUACAACGCUACACAAUGCCCCAAACACCUAAGCUCCACGACAACACCCCGAGGAGGGAGAACGGUGCAGAGCAUCGCCGUUGUCCAGAAGGGACCAGGGUCUUCACCCGAAACUCUGACACGAAGAGGAGCACCACGACGAGGUCUUCAUGAAGAUAACACCGCCCGCAAGCAUCGUCGUCGUCAGCGACAAAGCGCAAAGCUUUCACUCGGCAUCCCCACUGAGCACAUGCCAUAAAACCACCCAGCUCAUUUGACUGCACCAUGUUUGGUGGUUUGGUCAAUGGUCAAGUCAGACCCACUGUGUGAAACCUAGGCGGACGGGGACGCGAGUCCGAUUAGGUGGGUAGGGAGGAUACUCCCAUCUGGUUUACACUCCCAAGUUGGAAUAUUGGCCAUCACACACAUCAUCUUGACAAGUGGACCCAACCGGUUAAAAUCAGGCAAAUUGUUAAAUUGGGUUAAACUAGACACAAGACAACAAUUUUGAGGUACAAUGUGGCAGAAAAUUUAAAUGGGGUAAAUACUAUCACAAAUACACAAAACAGUGGGUAACAUGUGAAAUUCGCUCUCUUAUUAACUGUGCGCUUUUUCAACAAAAGAAUGUUGUGCAUUUUUUCAGGUGUGUUAGCAUUUGUUAUUCAGAGAGAAAGUACCUCGCUGCUCGUAGUUGUAGGCACACAUGAUUGCAGAGCAUGAAGCUUACUUCAAUAUUGAUAUUCUACCUGAUGUAUAUGAAGUGUAUUUCCUUUUUACUGUAGAUGAAACAUAUUUCAAUACACUACUUACGAAGAUUUAAAAAAUCUAACAAAUGAACCGUACAGUCAUACAUUCAGAGUGAAAUAACAAAGCGUAUCUCAGCUGCACCACAAUUCAGGCAAGGAGCAUCCAUAAUUUUGUUUCUGUUCCGGUAAGAAAGCAAAGUUACCACAGACCACACAUAUGAACUCAUCCCACCACGAUUCUAGGAAGAACUUCCCGACGAUUUGUACCGAUAAAUAGUUCCAUCAUCCAUGCUACCAAAAAAAGAUAUCAAAAGAUCCGGUGAAGCUUUGAAAGCAUUAUCAGUGCUUACUAGGUCCUUGCUAACUACAUAAGGGACGAUUUGAUCGCGGUAGGAUUUAAUAUCUAGAAGACCCCGUAAACUUCUGGAUGUCAUGUUACAUCCAGUCAUCCCCACAUUCAUCCAGUUCUUGCUUGGCGAGUUCCCUCAUAAACUUCUGGCCACGGAGAUCUAGUAGAAAUAUCAGAAAGUAGAUGACUAUAGAUUAGGACCAUGUAUGAAAGAACAUCUUCUAAUUUAAUAGAAUACACUUCUCAUGUAAUAGAAUAUCAAUGAUACACUAAGCAGAUCAUAUGCCACCUAAAACAUAAUUCGCUUUUCAGGAACAUGGCAAUGUGUGUCAUUACAUCUCAGUAAAUAGCACAUGAAUAUAUAAACCAACAAACCAGUAAGGAAAUACUGAUACUGGAAGUAAAUACAAAAUGGUAUAUGAAGAGAAGGUAUGACUCACGAGCAUUCCCGCUCCGACGCACAUAUAUAUACUGAAGGGGUAUACCAUUUGCACUGAACAUAUGUGCCAAGGUAUGGACUCUCCCAUCAUCCUUUGAGCAUUUGAUCUUAACCAUUCUAAGGUCUUUGCAAGUAAAUGAUCUCCUCUCAAGCUUGAUACCUGUUUCCAAUGCCUUCCUCAUGCCGAAGUUCUUUAGCACAACAACCAAAUUGUUAAUAAGCAUGCGAUCAGAAAAAUAAAGUAAAUGAUCAAGUAGCAUACACCAAAUAUGUAAUCACACAUACCAAUUUAAGUUGGAGAAAAAGCCUCUUUAUAUUAGGUGAAUGCUGUAGCAGGAAAAUUAAUGCAUCAAAAUCAGCGGCCAUACACCAUUCACCAAGGGACAGGGUCUUCAGGUUGCUAAAAGUUGGACACCUUUUCAAUUCCCUACUCAGAACCACCUUCAUAAUGCAGCCAAAAGAGUAUUUAGCAAAGAGCAAUAGUAAGUCGAAUCAACUUCUCAGUUCUCACAAUACAAACAGCAUACGAGUGGUUUAUUCAACAGAAAGAAUAAAACAAAGAUACCCAUCUCAAAAAAGAAGGGAAAACAAAGAUACCCAUCUCAAAAAAGAAGGGAAAACAAAGAUACCCUCCUUUGGUUCAUAGGAUAGGAAAAUCAUAAGAAUAGAAAAGUCAUUGGAAGUGAGAUGACAUGCAUCUCAGUUCCUAUAGGAAAAGAGAUGUCACUUGGUUCAUAGGAUAGGAAUUUUUCCAUUAGGUAUGAGCUAAUGUUUUCCCCCCUUUGAAAUGUGAAGGACAGGAACAGGUCCUACAUGGGAAUAGGAAUUCAUUCCUAUAUACCAAAUGGCUCUAUAGGAAAUUUUUCAUUUAGAAAUCCUAUCAUAUAUAAUUCCUACAAAAAUCCUUAAUCAGUUUUCUAGUAACUGAAGGAACAUCAGCCUUAGACUCUCUUAUAAUGACUGGAUAUAAUUAAUCAGUUUUUUACAUUAUAUAUAGUUAAUCUGUUGAAAAGAUAUACUGUUGCAACAAAGAGAAAAACGACAAACAAUCCUAUGAGAAUGUAAAUGGUAAACAAUGCUCCCUCGAAGCUACAGUGCCCUACUACAUUUGAUGGUUAAGCAAACUAGUACUACUUUAUUCAUUUAAACUCUGUACCCAGGUAUUGACACCAGAGCAGAAGGUCAGAAAUGUGUUCAUUCGACACAUGUGUUCUGUUCAAGGGAACAUGACGUUUCUUUGUGAAACGUCCGGAAAAAAAUGUCCGAUGAUAACUGCAGAAAAUAUAAAUAGAAAAUAAGAGAGGAAAGAGACAGAUCAGUAAAAGAUGGUGAUAGCUAUACCUCUCCAGCAUCACUUAACAAGUCCAAACUCGUAGCAGUAGAAAGGCUCUCAAGCAUAUUUUGGCCACCUAGAAUCUUACUAUAAUUUCGACCACUGUUUCCACCAUACUUACCAUCUUCACUGGAAAGCUUGGCCCCUUUGUAGCCAUACUUUGCAUCAUUUGCAAUCUCACUAUAUUCAUAGGUAUUGUCAUCACUAUCAAUAUCGCUACCAUAAUCAUAAUUAUCCUUGUAACGACUGUGUCCAUAUCUUCCUUCAGGAAAACCAUAUCCAAAUCCAAAAUUAUCAAAAUUGCCAUCAUCACUGAUGUAUCCAAAGUUAUCAUCACUGAUGUAUCCAAAAUUAUCAUCACUGAUGUAUCCAAAAUCAUCAUCACUCAAGGAACAGUCAUCAUGAAUCUUAUAGCUCUCUCUCUUAUCAUUGUUGUGGUUAUCAUCAUCAGUAGUUUCAUCAAAAUUAUCUUCAUCACUGAUGUAUCCAAAAUCAUCACACAAGAGAGAAUCAUCAAGUAUGAUGGUGCCUGUGACCAGUGACCCAAAGUUGAUAAAUGACGGAACUCGGACGGAAGGUGUGAUGAGGCGCAGCAGCACGAGGUUCGGAGCAGUAAUGGAGAAGUCCCAAUUGAACGUGCAUUUGAGCAUGAUUAAUGUCUUCAAAGAGGUAGACACAAUCUUAGGGCCAGUGACCAAGCAAUCCUUCAGAUCCAGCUCUUCCAAGGAUUUGCAACUAGAAGAAAGCUGUCCAAGGAUCCUAUCGUCGAGCCUGGCAUACGACAACUUCAAGAUCUUGAGGUGGCAAGAGACGAAGGGCACGCGGUCCAACAACGCGACUCCCUUACGAUGUCCAACAAGAUGAAUAACCCGCGCUUUGCGGCUGAUAGCAGUCCUGAUCCACGAGUUGGCAUCUUUCUCGUCGAAGCCCACAUAGUCGUCGCUGGACCGCAGGCGGAGCGUGUCCACCGACGCGGACACAUCACGGUGGAGGAAGAGGCUGUCCACGAAGUCACGGAACUCCUCCGGCGGGUUGGCAUCGCGGAAGGAGGAGUGGCGCACGCGGAGGUCGAUGCAGGGCACAGACGCCCAGAGGUGGUGCCACCGCCGCGCGAGCACGCAGGUGGGCACCACCUCCCACGCCUUGAGGAACGACAUGAUGUGGUGCAGGAGCGCGUCCGGGAGGGCGCUGAGGCGGUCGACCCCGACGGCGCCGGCGCCGGCGGCGGAGGCUGAUGCCUGGCCAGCGCGGCGGUAAGGCCCCCAGCGCCGGGAGGUUGUCCGGCGCAUUUCGUCGAGCAGAUGGCCUGCGUACAGGUUCGGGCACCCCGGCGUAAGGAUUAUGCAGGAAAAUCCAUGGAGGAAUGUGCGUAUGGGGAUGGGAUCGCAGCGAGAGGGGCUGAGGGAGGAAGGGAUCCAACUUACGGAGGGAUUCGCCGAAAUGGCGUGGACUUCUUUGCCGCUUUUGGAUUUCGAAAUUUUGGGGAUGGAGUUCGAUCGCCAGUUCGCUACUCGCCUUCUCCCCCGCACCAAUUUUGUUUUCAGGGCUCUCCCCCGCAGCAAAUGGGGCGGCGGCUGCUUCAGCCGAUGGGCCUUUGGGCAUUCCGCCGCGUGUGUUACCAAGGGGUGGCCCAGUUAGCAACCCAUUAUAUUUCUCCAACAACAAAUGUACUACUACAAAAAAUUCUCCAUUUUGUCUAAAAAAUAUCUCAUGUUUCUAAAAAAAAGAAUCCAACUAAUGCAUUCUACUGCUUCCAAGCGACGACACGGUUUUCUUUUGCCUAGAACGUUCUGGAGUAAAAUGUCCCACUGGUCCAUAAACUUGGACCAGAUGCACACUUCUGUCCAUUAACUCAAAAAUUGCGCAUCGGAAGGCAUAAACCAGUAACUCCCUCUGUAAAAAAAAUAUAAAAGCAUUUAGAUCACUAAUUUAGUGAUCUAAAUUCUCUUAUAAUUUUUUAAGGUCUCUGCGUCUGUCAUCUGGCUUAUGUUUCAUGUAGCAUUCAGAUACUUUAGUUAAAAAAGAUUUAAACACGACUUAAGUUUUGUGCAGGGGUCUAGAUAACUUGACUGCUAUGUUGUCUACUAAAACCUUANNNNNNNNNNNNNNNNNNNNNNNNNNNNNNNNNNNNNNNNNNNNNNNNNNNNNNNNNNNNNNNNNNNNNNNNNNNNNNNNNNNNNNNNNNNNNNNNNNNNNNNNNNNNNNNNNNNNNNNNNNNNNNNNNNNNNNNNNNNNNNNNNNNNNNNNNNNNNNNNNNNNNNNNNNNNNNNNNNNNNNNNNNNNNNNNNNNNNNNNNNNNNNNNNNNNNNNNNNNNNNNNNNNNNNNNNNNNNNNNNNNNNNNNNNNNNNNNNNNNNNNNNNNNNNNNNNNNNNNNNNNNUCGGGUUCCCGUCCGAUGGCCCCCUCGAUGGCAAGAGGAGUAGGGACCCGCCCGCCCAUUCCGUUUUAUGUCCUUAUCGGCGAGGCGACGAUGGCAGCAAUGAUGUGUUGGAACAAGGUCUCUUUAGUCUCUUCCUACCUUGACAAUGUCCGUUCCGGCGUGAAGGGAGUUUUUUGUCCCGUGGGAGUCUGUAUCACCAAAUAUGUUGGUUGUCUUCAUAUCUUGGUUUCUGGUGUGUCAUUCAAGCAGAGCAAUUGGCCAGCCAUUAGUGUGACAUCUUAUUUGUAUUAUUCUCCGGCAUGGUCUGGUUUAUCCAACCCUCUGAAACGAUGUUGACGGAUUGCAAGCUUGUUUUGCAUGGCAUGAUGCUUCAACUGAUGUUUCUUCAACGACUUCUAGAUUUCAUCUCAAUGGACGAGUGGUUAUUGCUGUCUUUAAAUCAUGGUAUAACGAAGACGUUUGCACAUAUCUCUUUCUUUCACUGUUGGUUCGGUGCAAUUUCAAUCUCUGCCGAGUGGCGUACAAUCGAAGGAAGAAGAAGAAUACCCCCUUCGUGCCAAAAUACGUGUCGUUGAUUUAGUAUAAUUUUGUAUGGACUUUGUACUAAAUCGGCGUUACUUAUUUGGGAUGGAGGGAGUAGUAUAUUUGGCAAUGUAAAAAAAAUUGGUACUGUCCAGUUGUGUUUCAACUGUACUGCCCAUUAUUUUUCUUGCUAAAUACUCCCUCAGUCCCAAAAUAAGUGUCUACAUCCAAAAUAAGUGUUUCAAUAAAGGUAGUAUAAAGUUAAGACACUUAUUUUGGGACGGAAGGAGUAUCCGAUAUAAUAUGCCUUUUUUUCUAAAAGACCCAGCUGCCUGGCUUUUCAUUGAUUUAGCAGAAGAGAGAGUUACAAAAAUUGUCACUAAUCAAAGGAGAUUAGCAACAGAAGAAAGAAAGACCGGGUUUAAAGAAGAGCACGCAGGCUCUCCCCCUUCCCCUAUCCUCUGGAUAUCGUCUAAGGUUUAUUUCUCAUGUGAUAUCCCCGAAGGGGGGCUCUAAUCCUUUUGCUCCUGCCAGCCUCCAUUGAUCUAUUUCUCUUCUGCAAGCACUGAUCACAUCGUCAACGCAAGCCUCCUUCUUCCUGAACGUGCAGCUGUUGCGUUCCUGCCAGAUGUUCCAUGCAACCAGAGCCAGCAUGGAUUUGGAGGCUCGUCUGUUGGAUGGUGAUGAUGCAGAGACUAUUGCAGUGACAACCUCCGUUGUGGUCUUGCACCCGUCCCAGGUUACUGGGCUGAGCGCGCCGCAGCCCCUCCAUGCUGCUGCCCUGGCCCAAAUCAGCUGUGACGUGGGGCAGUCCCAAAGGAGGUGCGCCGAGCUCUCCAAGUUUCUGAGGCAUAACUGGCAGAAGUAGCCAUUCUUCCAUCCGCGCCGCUGCAGCCGGUCGUUGCACCAGAGCCGGUCAUGGUGCAACAGCCACAUGAGGAACUUGAUUUUCCCUGGCGCCCAUACCUUCCAGAUGAGCUGUUGUAGUGCACCUCUUGGCUGCCCAUCGAACUGAGCAUCGUAGGCUGAUUUGGCACUGUACUGAGCUCCCGCCCGCCAGGAGAUCUCAUCCUCCACCUCUUCCCACAAGGUGAGAUUGGCCUCGCGGAUGCUGCGGCGCAGAGAGACCAGCUGCGGGAUGAUCUCCAUCGCAUUGCUUCUCCGGAGAUCAAGGAUCCAUCUGUCGCCCUGGAGCGCUUCAGCCACCGAUCGGUUCUUUCUUGAUGAGUUGGCGAACAGCAGAGGGAACUGAAGUUUUAGCGGCUGAUCGCCGAGCCAGGUGCAGUUCCAGAACGUGGCCCUCCUUCCAUUUCCUAUGUCAACUCUAGUUUCAGCGGCGAAUAGUUCUCUGUCCUUGUCGUCGCACGGCGAUCCCGUGCCGACCCAUGGCCUGUCCGGAUGCUUCCAUGCGAGCCAGAGCCACCGUAGGCGGACUGCGCGCGCAAAACGUACCAUGUCUGGAAUGCCAAGGCCACCGCGGUCCACCGGCGAGGUUACGAGCUUCCAGUUGGCCUUGCACUUCCCGCCUGAGAUUUCCUCGUCCUGAUAAUAAUAAUAAUAUGCCUUCUUGGAUGUCUUUUUUGAUGUAUCCAUAAGAGAGAAACAACAUAGUGAAUUAAACAUGCAAACACGCCAUAGUACAUAAGUAUAAACACAAGGACAGUGAUCGUCUACAUAAUUACAAGAAAAUAGAGAUCGGAUUAACAUGUUUACAUGGAAACGAUGACAAAGCUUAGCUCACGAUCAUGACCUUGUGCUUGUCUGACUAACUUCGACCUCGUCCGCGACGGUGACACCAACAAGCAAAUCAAGCGCCUCCACAACAGCCAACAUGUUCCCGGGGCUUGCGUGAAGGCACCUAUACGCGACCAUGCAAGCAUCAUGACCCUCCCUAGCUUGAGCGGGUCUCUCAGACGUGGUCGUAGGUUCCGCAGGUUCUGUUCUGAAGCACAGGCCAACCAGGCCAACCUCUGCCCGGUUAGGAUCUCCAGUAACACCACUCUGAAACAGUACACGUCGCUCUUCUUGGUGAAGUCCCCGGACAUGACGUACUCCGGCGCAGAGCCGUACCCACUUGUUAUGAGUGUGUACACGUUAGGAUCGUCACCUUUCCCGUAUUUUCUGGCGAACCACAGGUCUGAUAGCUUGACAUUGUUAUACUGAAGUGUACAAAGAGUAAAAAUCAUUAGCGAGUGUAUGUUGGGUCUAGCCAGGUAAUAGUGGCAAUCGAUGGUCUUUCUAGUGGCCCUGUUGAUAAAAUGCUUAAUUACGAUGCCCUGACUCUUUCAGUGCAUAAACGAAAAUACGAAGUUCUUGUCAAAUGGAAAAAAUCGUGAUUGCAAAAGUAAAUUAAGAAAACUAUACCUAGAACCACUUCUUUAAUUAUGACUAAGUAUAGUUUUGACUGUGUGCAUCUUAGUUGUAUAGAGGCCGGGUAUUGCUAAUCAUGCUUUGUAUUUGCUUGAUGCUAUAUUUGAAUUAAUUAAAAGCGCCCCUCAUCAAAAAUUUGUUGCCCGUUCCUCUCGCGUUAGGUGGUUGUUUCUUUCUUUCCAAUCGUUGCCUAGUGGGCACGGUCAACCAAACAAAACAUGUUUAUUGUGUUGUACUAUCAAUUUUAUUUCAAUGAAAUUAGGGUGCAAAGUUUAUUUCAUCAAAAAAUUGUUAUCCUCUCAAAAUUCCAUGCAUAUGGACUAAAUAAACAAUCACUAAAAAAAGAGGAAGAAUGAUCACCGAGUCUAGUAAGAUGUUGGAGGCGUUAAAUUUGACGGAGAUCAGUGGCUUCUCUUCACCAUGGAGGGACAACAACCCUUUCGCGGUAGCUAGAGCAAUGCUUAACCGUGUUGACCAUGACAACACAACACGAAUAUCUAAAACAUAUGAUACAUGAUAUUAUUUUGCCAAUAGAUAUCACAUGAAAUUGUUUUGCAGGUACAAAUCACUGGAAAAUUAACUUGAUCCAUUUCAAUUCUUGCAGAAAUCAUUAAUCAUGAAACCACCUAACAAUCAUGCUCUGCACACAUCACAGAUCAUGAAUCAUGCUCUGCACACAUCACAGAUCACUUUCAAAAGGAGUAGUACUAGUUUUGUAAAUGUGGGUUAAUUAAAGUCAAGGCGUUAAUUGGGAGGUUUCGUGCGUACUGACUUACCACUGGAGAGGUAGUUUGCCAAGCUGCCAUGGCCCAUUAGCUCGUAGACGAGAAGCCUGUGCAGCCCCUCGUAGCAGUAGCCGAUCAUCUUCACCAGGCUCGGCUGCCGCGGCUGCAGCUCCCCCAGGAAUAUCGAAUCUUUCUAAUCACAGAGAAGGAAGUUGAUUAGAGAUACUAUUCACUAACAGAACACGUACAUCGAUCUACCUACGUACCAGAUGUUCCUCGGAGUGGUAGUCGUCAGCACGGACUCUCUUGACGGCGACUGGCUGCGCCGGGAGCCCCGGCCGGAAGCCGUCCUCGAGGGAUCCCCUGUACACCGUCCCGAAACUGCCGCUGCCGAUUUUGUUUCCUGAGGCGAACCCUCCGGUCGCGGCGCUCAGCUCCGCAAAGGUGAACCUGUGCAUGUUGGAGUUGGGCGACACAGGCGCCGGCACCGGCAACUGAUCCUCCUUGAUGGCGGCGUCGGUAAGCAGAUCCAGCGCCUUCACGACGUCCGACAUGUCUGGCCUCUCCUCGGGUUUGACAUGGAGACACUUGUAUGUGACCAGGGCAGCCUUGUGUGCGGCUGCCACUGGGUAGAUGCCCUUCAAUGCUUUAUCCAUGAUCCCUGCCAGUUUAACCGGGUCUUCGAGAUUCGGCCGCGCGUACUCCAACAGGUUCCGCUCCUCCUUGAUGGGUCUUUUCAUGUCUACCCACUUCAUCCCUGUGAUCAGAAUCUCCAACAACACCACCCCGAAGCUGUACACGUCGCAUUUCGGGGUGAGACUGCCGGACAUGACGUACUCCGGUGCGCUGCCGCGCGGUGUUCCAAGGCGCGAGCGCGUGGUGGUGACCGAGCCGUCGCUCGCUCUCGUGUCAAGCCUCAGGCCCGAGAGCGAGAUCUUGGCAUUGUUAUCCUGGAGAAGGAGCAUAAACUAUUAGCCGGUUGUGUCCUCCCAAGUUGCGUAGUUAACAUUUAACAAGGGCGAGAGAUGCAGAAUGGUCUCCUACCGAGUCCAGUAGGAUGUCGGAGGCAUUGAAUUCGCCGCAGAUCAAUGGCUUCUCCGCGCCGUGGAGGGACACCAGCCCUUUCGCCGUAGCUAAGACGAUGCUUAGUCUGGUUGACCAUGGCAGCACGGGACGAUAAAAAGCUGAAAUUUGCAUCACAUGAAAUGAAUUCAUUUCGAUGUCAUUUUCUGAUUUGCACAUAUGGGGAAUUGGGGAUAGAGUCAACGCUAGGAGGGCUCCUUGUGUGCGUACGUACGCUUGAAGAAGUAGUCGUCCAAGCUGCCAUGGUCCAUGAGCUCGUAGACGAGGAGCCUGUGCUCCUCCUCGCAGCAGUAGCCGAUCAUCCUCACCAGGCAGGGAUGCCGCAGCUGCAGCUCCCCGAGGAACAUCGCCUCCUUCUGAUCACACGGUAGCCGAGAGAUGGAGAUGGAGUACAUCUGAUCAAUGUGAAAUUGGGGGCUGACAUCGAGGAGUAGGUACGUACCACCAUUCCCUCGACGNNNNNNNNNNNNNNNNNNNNNNNNNNNNNNNNNNNNNNNNNNNNNNNNNNNNNNNNNNNNNNNNNNNNNNNNNNNNNNNNNNNNNNNNNNNNNNNNNNNNACCUCGUCCACGAUGGUGACACGAACAAGCAAAUCAAGCGCCUCCACAACAGCCAACAUGCUUGGACGUUUCCCGGGGCUUGCGUGAAGGCACCUAUAUGCGACCAUGCAAGCAUCAUGUGCCGUUGUCACCGGGUAAAUGUCUUUCAACACCGGGUCCAUGACCCUCCCUAGCUUGAGCGGGUCUCUCAGACGUGGUCGUAGGUUCCGCAGGUUCUGUUCUGAAGCACAGGCCAACCAGGACAACCUCUGCCCGGUUAGGAUCUCUAGUAACACCACUCCGAAGCAGUACAUGUCGCUCUUCUUGGUGAAGUCCCCGGACAUGACGUACUCCGGCGCAGAGCCGUACCCACUUGUUAUGAGUGUGUACACGUUAGGAUCGUCACCUUUCCCGUAUUUUCUGGCGAACCACAGGUCUGAUAGCUUGACAUUGUUAUACUGAAGUGUACACAGAGUAAAAAUCAUUAGCGAGUGUAUGUUGGGUCUAGCCAGGUAAUAGUGGCAAUCGAUGGUCUUUCUAGUGGCCCUGCUGAUAAAAUGCUUAAUUACAAUGUCCGUGACUCUUUCAGUGCAUAAACGAAAAUACGAAGUUCUUGUGAAAUGGAAAAGAAUCGUGAUUGCAAAAGUAAAUUAAGAAACCUAUCCCUAGAACCACUUCUUUAUGAUUAAGUAUAGUUUUGACUGUGUGCAUCUUAGUUAUGUAGAGGCCGGGUAUUGCUAAUCAUGCUUUGUAUCUGCUUCAUGUUACAUUUGAGUUAAUAAAAAGCGCCCUUUAUUGAAAAAUUGUUGCCCGCUCCUCUCGUGUUAGGUGGUUGUUUCUUUCUUUCCAAUCGUUGCCUAGUGGGCACGGUCAACCAGACAAAACAUGUUUAUUGUGUUGUACUAUCAAUUUUAUUUCAAUGAAAUUAGGGUGCAAAGUUUAUUUCAUCAAAAAAUUGUUAUCCUCUCAAAAUUCCAUGCAUAUGGACUAAAUAAACAAUCACUAAAAAAGAGGAAGAAUGAUCACCGAGUCUAGUAAGAUGUUGGAGGCGUUAAAUUUGACGGAGAUCAGUCGCUUCUCUUCACCAUGGAGGGACAACAACCCUUUCGCGGUAGCUAGAGCAAUGCUUAACCGUGUUGACCAUGACAACACAACACGAAUAUCUAAAACAUAUGAUACAUGAUAUUAUUUUGCCAAUAGAUAUCACAUGAAAUUGUUUUGCAGGUACAAAUCACUGGAAAAUUAACUUGAUCCAUUUCAAUUCUUGCAGAAAUCAUUAAUCAUGAAUCAUGCUCUGCACACAUCACAGAUCACUUUCAAAAGGAGUAGUACUAGUUUUGUAAAUGUGGGUUAAUUAAAGUCAAGGCGUUAAUUGGGAGGUUUCGUGCGUACUGACUUACCACUGGAGAGGUAGUUUGCCAAGCUGCCAUGGCCCAUUAGCUCGUAGACGAGAAGCCUGUGCAGCCCCUCGUAGCAGUAGCCGAUCAUCUUCACCAGGCUCGGCUGCCGCGGCUGCAGCUCCCCCAGGAAUAUCGAAUCUUUCUAAUCACAGAGAAGGAAGUUGAUUAGAGAUACUAUUCACUAACAGAACACGUACAUCGAUCUACCUACAUACCAGAUGUUCCUCGGAGUGGUAGUCGUCAGCACGCACUCUCUUGACGGCGACUGGCUGCGCCGGGAGUCCCAGCCGGAUGCCGUCCUCGAGGGAUCCCCUGUACACCGUCCCGAAACUGCCGCUGCCGAUUUUGUUUCUUGAGGCGAACCCUCCGGUCGCGGCGCUCAGCUCCGCAAAGGUGAACCUGUGCAGGUUGGAGUUGGGCGACACAGGCGCCGGCACCGGCAACUGAUCCUCCUUGAUGGCGGCGUCGGUAAGCAGAUCGAGCGCCUUCACGACGUCCGACAUGUCUGGCCUGUCCUCGGGUUUGACAUGGAGACACUUGUAUGUGACCAGGGCAGCCUUGUGUGCGGCUGCCACUGGGUAGAUGCCCUUCAAUGCUUUAUCCAUGAUCCCUGCCAGUUUAACCGGGUCUUCGAGAUUCGGCCGCGCGUACUCCAGCAGGUCUCGCUCCUCCUUGACGGGUCUUUUCAUGUCUACCCACUUCAUCCCUGUGAUCAGAAUCUCCAACAACACCACCCCGAAGCUGUACACGUCGCAUUUCGGGGUGAGACUGCCGGACAUGACGUACUCCGGUGCGCUGCCGUGCGGUGUUCCUAGGCGCGAGCGCGUGGUGGUGACCGAGCCGUCGCUCGCUCUCGUGUCAAGCCUCAGGCCGAGAGCGAGAUCUUGGCAUUGUUAUCCUGGAGAAGGAGCAUAAACUAUUAGCCGGUUGUGUCCUCCCAAGUUGCGUAGUUAACAUUUAACAAGGGCGAGAGAUGCAGAAUGGUCUCCUACCGAGUCCAGUAGGAUGUCGGAGGCAUUGAAUUCGCCGCAGAUCAAUGGCUUCUCCGCGCCGUGGAGGGACACCAGCCCUUUCGCCGUAGCUAAGACGAUGCUUAGUCUGGUUGACCAUGGCAGCACGGGACGGUAAAAAGCUGAAAUUUGCAUCACAUGAAAUGAAUUCAUUUCGAUGUCAUUUUCUGAUUCGCACAUAUGGGGAAUUGGGGAUAGAGUCAACGCUAGGAGGGCUCCUUGUGUGCGUACGUACGCUUGAAGAAGUAGUCGUCCAAGCUGCCAUGGGCCAUGAGCUCGUAGACGAGGAGCCUGUGCUCCUCCUCGCAGCAGUAGCCGAUCGAUCAUCCUCACCAGGCAGGGAUGCCGCAGCUGCAGCUCCCCGAGGAACAUCGCCUCCUUCUGAUCACACGGUAGCCGAGAGAUGGAGAUGGAGUACAUCUGAUCAAUGUGAAAUUGGGGGCUGACAUCGAGGAGUAGGUAUGUACCACCAUUCCCUCGACGCAGUUGUCGACCCGCCACCGUGUCCGCUUGACGGCGACGGGCUGCGCCGGGAGCCCCGGCCGGACACCGUCCUCGAUGAAUCCCCUGUACGCCGUCCCGAACUCGCCGCUGCCGAUUUGGUUGCAGCAGGCGAACCCCUCGGUUGCCGCGCACAGCUCCGCGAACGUGAAGGCGUGCAGGUUGGAGUUGGACGCCGCCAGCGACAGGUCGUUGUUCCUGACGAUCGGCGGUGGCUGCUCCGCCAACCCGCCGCUUGCUGGGACGUUCUCCCCAGCCGCCAUGGUCCAGCCGAGGCAACCGUCGAGGAGUGACCUCCACGACGACGAAGACGCCGUCGACUUCCUUGAAGCAGCCUUGGAACCGGACCCCAUAGUUAGCCCGCGCGGCACCCACGCAGCUACUAGCUUGCAAGUUGCAAGUGAUGCCUUAUAGCAUAUUUUUCUCGAAUAUGCACGAGUGUGCAUAUCAUUCAUUAAAAAAGGGAGGGGAGAGAACCCCAAAUCCACAUUACAAGCUUAUUUACAUGCGGACCUCGUCCAACACCACCCCACACUUGACACAACUACUCGCUAGUACCCCACGCUUCCUGCUCUACUUCGAACCCUACAUUGUGUCCUUUGAACAAUCCCGCCUUCGCCCAUAGCCUACCUUCCUCCUGUAUGCGUUGUAUGGUUCGUGGAACCGACGGCCUCUCCCCAUUAAAGAUCACGUCAUUCCGCUGUUUCCAGAUCAUCCACAUCCCAAGAAGGCAUUUGGCUUUGUGCGCACGCCCGCUGUCUGAGUUUCCGUCUUGCCUUGUCGACCAUUGUUCUAGCGGUUCAUUUUGCCUCGGCUCAAUGUCCACUCUCUCCGUAAGUCGGCCCAUUGUCGACCAAAUCUGCCUCGCGAAUACACACUCCAUCAACAAGUGCUGCAUGGUUUCAUCAUGUUGGUUGCACAACGGGCAUGUGUCCUGGUGGGGUAGUCCACGUCGGGCGAGCCUAUCCGAAGUCCAGCAUCUGUUCCUUAUCGCCAGCCAGGAGAAGAACCGGCAUCGCCUUGGCGCCUUAGUCUGCCAGGUAAACACGGCAGUUGGGGACACCUCUCUCCCCAUGUACCGAGCCGCAUAUGUCAUACGAGCCGAGAACUCUCCAUUCUGCUCCCACAUCCACCUCACCGUGUCUUCCAUCUCAUCAGCAAGUUGCACUUCCGCCACCUUUGGCCAAAGAUUUAGAAAUUCGUCCAGAGCCUCCGGUGGUAGGUCAGUUCCAACGUCGUUGGCCCAGUUGUUGUUGCGUAUUGCAUCCGCCACCAGCUUCGACUGGCGCACUCUCUUCGUGACUAGACUGUAGAUUCGCGGGGCCAGCUCAGACACCCGAAAACCGUCGAUCCAUCUAUCCUCCCAAAAAAGUGUUUUUCUGCCAUUGCCUAUCAUUGUCCGCGCAGCUGCAUGCACCAAAGCUUGCGAGUCAGCUGGCACCACGAUGGAGAAUUCUGCCCAGGGCCUUUCCUUGUCCACCUUUUGAAGCCAUGGCCAUCUUGCCCGUAGUGCUUUAUUCAUCCAAAACAGGUUGGGUAGCCCUAGUCCGCCUGUCCAUUUGGGCGUACAUACUUCGUCCCAUGCAACCGCACAAGACCCACCACUUGCUUCAUUCUUUCCACACCACAGGAAGCUUCUGCAGAUCUUGGUUAGCGCCACUAAAGUUUUCCUUGGCAGGUCCAGAGCCAGCAUCGAGUGCACCGGGAUGGCACAUAGUACCGAUUGGAUCAACAGCAGUCUACUACUCUUUGGCAGCAUAGCUGCUUUCCACAUUGGUAGGCAUCAGCAACUUUGUCCACCAGAUGUUGAAGUUGCGCCGCGGUGGGUUUCCUUAUCGUUAGUGGCAUCCCCAGAUACUUGCACGGGAAUGAGGCAUUGGCACAGCCCAAGGAAGAGGAGACCAGAUCCAUCUCCUCCUGAGAGCAUCGAAUCGGUAAGGAGACACUCUUGGCCAUGUUGACAACAAGGUCGGAGGCCUGCCCAAAUAGCGCAAGUAUAUGUCGGCACAUCCUUGUUUCCAGCUCAUUGGGUUUGAAGAACACCACUACAUCAUCCGCGAACAUAGAUACACGCUGUUGCAAGCCGUUCCAUGCCAGUGGCUCCAACAAACCUCUGUCCAUGGCAUACUUGAACAUGGCCCUGAGAGGCUCCAUGCACAGAAUGAAGAGCAUAGGCGAUAGCGGAUCACCUUGUCGUAGACCCUGACACGCCAGAAUCAGUUUGCCAGGUAUGCCAUUCACCAUGAUCCUUGUGGAGGAAGUUGCUAGCAGCCCACAGAUCCAUGCAAUCCAUUUUUCUCCAAAUCCAAAGCGCCGCAGUACCUCGAUGACAAAAGGCCAACUGAUCGAGUCAAAAGCUUUGGUAAUGUCCAACUUCAGAAGAACCGUUGGGGAUUUCAACACAUGUAGACGACGUGCCAUGCACUGAACAAGAAUGAAGUUGUCAUGCAAGGAACGCCCCUUAACGAACGCACUUUGGUGUUGCCCGAUGAGCUUUGGAAGAUCCUCCACCAGUCUAGUUGCCAGAACUUUGUCAAAGGUUUUGACUGGUCCACUAAUGAGGCUCACCGGCCAGUACUCCCUGAUGUCCAUUGCGCCAGCCUUCUUUGGUAAUAGCGUGACCAGAGCCUUGUUGAUUGUAGCCAUGCCCCGCAUAUCCUCCCUAUGAAACUGCUCAAGCGCCCUCAUGAAAUCCACCCUCACAAUAUGCCAGCAAGUUGUGUAGAACCUGCCGGUGAACCCGUCGGGUCCCGGCGCCUUGUCCAUAGGCAUGCCCUUGAUGGCUUUGUGAAUUUCCUCCUCCGUAAAUGGUGCCUCAAGCCUUGAUAAAUCCAUAGAUGGUAAGUCAAGCACAUCUAGGUUGAUAUUGGCUUCUCUAGCCCCUGUUGUUCCCAUCAGAUCCUGGAAAUAAACAUCCACCACAUCCGCUAUCCUCUCCUGCCCGGUGAAGAUCUCGCCAUUGUGCUGAAUGACAGUUAUAGAGUUCUUCCUCUGCCUAUGCCUCGCGUGCCUUUGGAAGAAAGCAGUGUUUGCGUCCCCCACCUUCAGAUGCAAUAGGCACGAUCUUUGUCUGGCAAUCAUUCUCUCCAAGGAGCAAAGCCCUAACAAUUUCCUCUUUAACAACUUGCGGAGUCCAUGCUCCUGAUUCGACAGCACCAUAGAUUCUGCCGCCACAUCCAGUCUUAAUAUGAUUUCCAUUGCCAAAGCUAUCUGGAGACGGGUGUUGCCAAUCCAACAGUCGCUCCAACUUUGCAAGGCCUUCGCCGUGGCCCACAGCUUGUUGUCCAACACUAUAAAUGGGUUGCCCACCGAAGGGAUGGAUUGCCACACCUGCUCCACUGUGUCCAAAAAUCCUGCAGCUUUGGGCCAGAAGCACUCGAAUUUGAAGCGGUGGCCCACCUCGAACUCAGCGUCCAAGUCCACAAGUAAUGGGCAGUGGUCCGAGAUUGCCCUACCGAGCGUAGUUACCAGACUCUUGGGGUAUAUAUCCUCCCUGCAGUUGGUAACGAAAACAUGGUCUAUUUUCUCCAUCGUUGGGUUUCGACGCUCAUUGCUCCACGUGUAGCGCCUCCCAUUGAGGUAUAGCUCCUUGAGCUCGAGCCUAUUUAGCAUGGCCAUAAAUCUAGCCAUCAUGCGCCUAUUGGAAGUUGCCUUAUUCUUGUCCUCCGGAUUGACAAGCAAGUUGAAAUCGCCCACAAUCGCCCAUGGCCCCGCAUGAAGGUCUCUAACAUCCCGAAUCUCCUCAAGAAAAGCCACCUUUUCCGCAUCACCUUGUGGCCCAUAAACCCCGGUAAGCCACCACAUGGGUAGCCCUUCCUGUUGGAUUAGUGCUGUUAGGGUAUUUGCCGUUAGGUGUGUAUUGGUGAUGGAUACCACCAAUUGAUCCCAUGCAAGUAGUAUUCCACCUCUAGUGCCCACCGCCGGAACAUAGUAGAAAUGCUCAAAUCUAUUGCCAAGGGUUUGUCUUAAAAUAUCAUCCGAAAUGACCUCCAUCUUUGUUUAUUCAAGACACACUACAUCCACUUUUGCCGCGUCUACCGCUUGGAAGAUAGUGUUUCUACGUGCUGGGGAGUUAAGCCCUCUCACGUUCCACACCAGGAUUUUAGGAGGUUGCGUAGUCAUAUUAGCAUCCCACCUCCACCAUGGCACUAGGGACUAAAGGCCCUCGACCACCGUAUCCUAAUCCCCUUGCAGAGGUAAGAUGGAUUCCUCCCACCCAAACAACGCCAAUAUGGCCUUGACAUGGCAGUCCAUGAGCGGCUUGUCGAACAGCCUCGCGUAUGCUUCCAGGGUGUCGUCGCUUAUCAGAUCUGCCUCGUUCGCUAGACAUAAUUUCUUGAUCAGGACUGCUUGUUGUUUUGAAGCUCGAGAGCCCCGACCUCCCUUGGCAAGCCGCACGCUGCGCCUAGGAGUUGUUACUAGCGCCUUCUUCUGGUGCGGUCUUCUCUGCCUCACCGCAAUGCCUCUGGAUGUGGGCUGCUCCAGGAUCGGCGUGAUGUUGCCCCUGAGGUCAUUGCAAAGCUGGGCCGCCCUAUCUUCAGGAGACGGGUCCGGCACGGCAAGGGCGGACGACAUAUUUGUUUCCUCAAGAUGCUCAGAAAGGCUAACCAAAAACCAUCCAGCGCCUCCCGUGCAUGGCGGCGUCCCAUCCACAUGCAGCUCGGGCCCCACUAGUCCCUCCGCAGAUUCUGAAUACCCCGGCAAAUCGACCAGUACGGAACUGCCACAGUUGUCGCUGGCAAAAUCCUCCUCGGUCGGGGCGCAUGGCCCCCUCAGCGGGCUUUCCUCCACAUGGGAGAGGCGCAGUUCCCAAUCUCCCACUCUGAUCCCAGGCGAAUCUGUAGUGCCCACAGGGCUGCUAGGCCCCACCAUCGGACGCGACCCAGCCUGGCCCAGCGCUGUCUGCCCAACCAUCGCCAGAGAUGGCACAAUCCCACCAUCCAGUUGGUUGAUCGAAGCCACCGAAUCCUCACGAACCAGCAGCCUUGGCACAUAGCCUGCUCGGCCCCCACUCUGGUGCCCAGUGGGGCCGACUCUGCUUUCCACUGACGGGGCCUCCAUGACUAUCGAAUCGCCUAGGGCGCGCUCCACCACCAACGGGCGUUCCACGCUGACCUCACCCACGAUCAGGGUCGCGUCAGCCGUAUCAUCCGAAACAGUCCCCGUACAGUCCACCUGGUCCCGCUGACCGGCCACGUGGUUUCGAAAUCCACCACCCUGCUGCGGCUGUGGCGGCGAAGGGGCCGAGUUCGCCGAAGAAGAAUCCGGCGAGGCCCUGGAUGGCGGCGCCGGCGGGCCCCCAUUUGCAUCUCGACGGUCACCACUCCCAUCAUCACCAGCAGACAGCGGGAAGGGGGCGGCGGCGGUGGUGGCGGAGGCGCCGCCCCGGCCAAAUCGUCCACCCGAAUCGCGUCCCCAAUCUGGCUGAUCGAAAUCGGGUACCACAUCGCGUCGUCCUGCUUUCCGGCAGCCAUGGCGUGCUCGCCGCGCCUGCCCUGUUCUUCCACCACGAGAAUGCGCUUAGAAGGGAUUCUUGCCGGGUCAUCCGUCCGCAGCCAGACCUUGAAUUCAGCCAUAUCCUAGACAAGCUUGACCGCUCAUACAUGAGUAGUCUAGUGCUACAUCCAUCCUAGUUUAUUAGCCCCCUUUGUAAUUUGUGUCAAAUUUUGAUCAAAGAUUUAACUAACAAAAUGUUAAUGCAUGUCAACAAAUAUUACAUCAUUGGAUUCGUAUUUGAACAUAGUUUUCAAUGAUAUAAUUUUUUGUUACACGCAUGAACAUUUUGUUAUUUUAAUCUAUAGUUAAAAUUUGGCACAAAAUACAACGAGGACUAAUAAACCAAGAUGGAGGUAGUAGAAAGAGCAGUACCACCAAUAAUGAUCGGUAGCGUAAUGGCUAGUACACGAUAAGUUUUACUUGUUGCAUUAUCGACCAAAAUGUAGGUUAAGUAGAGAGCAACAGAUCAGUCAUUGACCACGGGAGGAAGCUGCGGGCUGCUGGAGAAGAACCCGUACUAGUCAUGGACGAAGCCACAUCCAACGAGAUUGACCAUGCAUCUCCGCGCCCCGCUGCAGAAGUGGUUAACCUCGCAGUCGAGUACAUAGGACAGGCAUGUUCGGUAGUCGGUUAGUGCCAGAUACAAUGUACAUUUGACUAGCCCAGAGAGUCCGACCGCGGCGGUGGCUAAGAGCACUCGAGAGGAGGAGGCAUUCCUCGGGACCGUUGCUGGGAGGUGUUCAAUGUUGGCCUGGAAGGUGCCGUUGAUAGCAUAGAUGUUGCUAGUUGCUCCGUAGAAGGUGUGGAGGACGGCGACGAGUGACGGGGCAAGAGAGACGUCCAACAUUAUGGUUGAUGCGAGGUAGGAGGCCCCCAUAGCUACAUCUGAUGGAGAGAUAAGAGCGUGAGAGAGGGAGGGCGGGAUCAGGUAACGAUGGAUCAAAGAGAGCGAGAAAGUGAUGACGAUUGACAGCUAGCUAGCUCUAAGUGAUCGAGCAUGUAACGGAAGUGCACUUGUUACCAUUGUCGCACUCUGAGAGAUGCAUGCGUGCAUAGCUAGCAGCCUCCUGGCCUCACCGCGCGCCUCAUCAAGCUAAACAACUGAUGUCGUGUACAAAAUAAAAAGAUUCGUCUGCUAUCCAUUUGAAGAAAAUACAACAUUAUUGGAUGUUGAUGAUCAAUGAUUUCGUUCGCUUCUACAAUUAUUAAUAAGUGUGUGUUUGGGAGGGGAGGCUUGGCCCUUAGGGUCGUACAACCCCGUCCUCAAUGCUCAAGUGUGCAGGAUUACAACUUUCUCGAUCGCCUGAGUUGCAUUCAUCUUCGUGAGACUGUUACACCAAUAAUACAUGAUCCUCGCCUGGUAUUGGGCUAACCGUGCAGGGAAUAUUGGGCUGACAUCUCGAGAUCCAUGCGCCUGCCACAUGAUUGGUGUGUAACUAUGUUACUAGUGUGCAACUUUUAAUCCCGGACUGAGAUAGUAUUUGGAAGAGUUAAAAUGUCUUAGUAUGUACUAGAUCAUGUUUGGUGUGUGUCGCUGCGCCCGCCUUAGUAUGCACAAGCAGGUGCAUGACCUUCAGUGACCCUCCUACUAUGAUCAUGGACCACUCGCCACUUGAAUUGGUGGAUUAGGUCAGAGGUUAAAGGUGUCAUGAUCCUCAGGAGUACACCUUGUGUCUCACCUCGUGUGAUCUGUUGCCUUCAAAAAACCUUGCUAACCAAAGUAUGAGACUUUUCGUUUCAAGUCACAGUCGAAUAGGACAUUUGUAUCUAAAAAUGCAUGCACAACACCAGUGGCGGAGCUAGAUGAAAACUUCUAGGGAGGGCAAAGAUAGAAUAUGAGUGUUUGCGGCGGGAGGAUGCUUGAAGAUUUUCAUCUAAGCCCUCCCAUAAACUUUUUGUUCACAACUUGGUUUAAAGAUGUGGGGGAGGGGGCAAUGGCCCUCUCAGCCUAACACAUAGCUUUGCCCUUGCAUGACACACGAUAGAUUGAUUGCAAUGGUACUAUGACCAAGAGUAACCAAAAAAACAUAGCAUAGAUGUUUUUGUUAGAAAAGGAGGAUUACCCCCGACCUCUGCAUCUAGGCGAUGCAUGCAGCCAUUCAUAGAUGUGAUUGUCUAGACUCUUGUUGGGGAGCUACUCGUAAACAAUUGUAGACCCAUCGGGCGGGGAUAAUCAUUCCGGUCCUGGGAGAGGUGGCGACACCAGUCUAAGCUGAGGGAAGCCAGCCAAUUGAGUCACUGAAACGACCGCAGGAGGCCCCCCCCCCCAAGAUAGAAACCAGUUGUCGUUUCAUAUAUGCGCUAGGAGAUAGUAUCCUAUCCCCCUCAAUCUCAGGAGUCGUUUUCUCUAUGCCGGACUUAUGGGUGGAAAAAAUAUGUAUUUCGGUCACCAUGUCGUAGCCAAUUGGCUCUGCCCCACUGGAGCCAUGCUACUUCUUCUGCUCUUUCUCUCUACAUUGCAUCAAAGAAAUUAGAGAGAGAGAGAGAGAGAGAGAGAGAGAGAGAGAGAGAGAGAGAGAGAGAGAGCAGAUGGAUCCUAUCCCCUAUAACGAACACACAUUCCUAUCUAUUGAUAGAAAAGAAAGAUCUUCGUCACGGACUUUUUCUUUGUUCUUUUUUUUAGAUUUGAGGAAUUCCUCAUAUCCAAGGCAGCUCCCCACAAACACCCUACCCAUAUGACUAUGCCCCCUUUUGAAUCGACAGUAGAUUGGAAAAGCUCAUCUGACCCCAAGGUGGUACGUAUCCUAUAGAAGCUGUCACAAUCAUUAAUAGGAAUAUGACAACUUCGAGACACCGAACAAAUUCCUUAGGACUGCUAUAACUCGCAUAAUAUAGACCACAAAAAUAUGAAGGUGAACCACAAUGAGAAACUUGCCCCAUUAGCAUGCAUAUAACGGAGCAACCAGCCCCCUUCAAGUUCCCCUGCUCCUCAAAACAAGCACCUAUAAUUCUCACUAAGUUUUUGUGCAGUAGCUUAGCAAGCAAAAGCAGCUCCAAUGCCAACUCGUUUAUCCCCUGUCGAGAAUUCUGUGAUAGUCUCUUAAUGAUGAGUGAUUGGUUAGAGAGAGUUCCCUAAUGUAUAAAAUGGAGACAUUGGUAAAAAAAAUACUGCAACAAUAAAUAGGUGUACCUUGUAAAGUGUGCCAAAACCACCUUCACCUGGUUUGUUAUCUAAAUCUAAUUCCGUCGUUGCACCUCAAAGUAUUUGCAGAUCUAUUUAAAGGGACUCAUCAACUUUUUUUAUCCUUGUGAUCAAAUAUACCUAGCAUAACCAUUAUAGUUCUACCUCGGAAGUAAAAAUUGACAUGGAUAGUUACAGUGCCACCUUGAAAAUAAAGCAUGCAUAGCAAGAUUACUCAACGGCUGAUUUCUCAGUAGCAAAACACUUUCUUAGAGGUAGAAAUAUUCUAGAAAGUCUUGUGGUGGCUGAGUGGCUCACAAAGUGGUACAUAGCAUCCAUCAAGCGAAAUAACCAUCGGUGAUCAUCAAACUUGAUUACAGAAAAGAGUAUGACUGUGUGAAUUGGACUUCCUUUUUGAAAUCCUACGUGUAGAGGUUUAAGCAAAAAAAAAAUAGAUUGGUCGAUUUAAAAUACAACACAUAUAGACCUAAUAAUUUUUUAAAAGAAUUUGCCCGGUCGCAAUAUUGGAAGGGGGUGACGUGGGCUCCUCUGGCAACAAAUUCUUGGUUUGAUGCCUACCCAGCGGAUUAGUCUUGUUUCCCGGCAGAUCGCAGUGUCAAGCCUAACCUUUUGUUUGUUUUCUCAACAAAUAUCACUCAUCGAACUCCUGAUCUUACGGGAUACAUUACCAAAGGGUAGAUAUAUAUUAACAGACAACUUCAUAAUACACACGAAAAUGCUACAUCUAUGUAAUUCACGGAUUUCUUCCUUCACGGCCGCGCGUCAGAGUGCGUGAUAGCUUCACGCGCUGGUGCCUUUCGGACAGGGCCAAGGGACCCACCACGUGUGUGUGUGCAACAUCACAAAAAUCACCCCCCCCCCCCGCCUUAUUUGAACUGCUGGGCUCGGGCAUGUCCUUAAAUCCUACGUGACCUGCCUAAUUAAUUCUCUCGGUCACCCCUGAUUUUCAUGGGUGUGGGCCCCUCCCACCCCCUUCAAUCUGACCCCAAGUCUCCGUGUUCUCUAUCACGUAAAAACCAUAUGUUUCUUCGCUAAAAAAACAUACAUUACUUUAAGUAGGUCUACCAUUACUCCAAUAGACAGGUGCACUUGCAUGUUCUUUUUGUGGUCGCUUUUCUUUCUCCUGUUAUAAGCAUAGUUUGUUCCUUCAAUAUAUGAUUUCUUUACUAGAUAUAUACUCCCUCUGUAAACAAAUGUAAAAGUGUUUAUAUCACUAUUAAUGAUCUAAACACUUUGAUACACCCACUGUAAAGAAAUAUAACGAUCUUCUUAUAUUUCUUUACAGAGGGAGUAUAAAUCAGGGCGUCAUGAAGGGAGUGCGUAGCCAAAAUAAUGUAAAUUAUAGUUAACAUAGAUCUAAGAAAAACUACAAUUAGUGUGAUUUGGUUUGUAGCUGCAUGGACUGUAAGUAUGUUUUUCUAAUAUAUUCUGUUGUGAUUUCAAGAAAAUACGGUGUCCACUGCUUUUCUAUCCUACGUGGAAAGUGAUAUUCUCUUUUCAUUUGAUAGUUAAGUGCUUGUUUUUCUUUUUAAUUUCCUAUCAACACCAAUAUUUUGAUUAUCUGACUAGGUAUAGAAUAGUUGCAUUACUUUUUCCCAUAAGUGAUCAUGUCUUCGCUUUCACAUCGCUAGAAAGUUUAAGCCUUCACAACAAAUUGCCUUAAAAGAAACAUAGUAGUACAAUACCCACCAGUGCCAAACAUUGAGAUAAGAUGCGCUGAAGAUUCGCUCACCGUUCGUCCUGUUUGGUGGUCUGCCGCCGUCUCUCCAGUCCUCUCCUCCUCAUAAUUUAACGCAAGUACUACUACUCUGCUCACGACCGUACUGAACUGAUUGGCUUGCUGCUAUAGCUGGCUAGCUCUGUUGGAAUAGACGUAUAGGAGACGUAUAGGGAUAGGGGUUUGUUUAAAUUCUGUACUUCAUCUCUAUCUCUUCUUCUCUCUCGAUCUCUUUGUAAUGACUGUCCUGGUCGAUCUCUCGAUCUCCUGUGUAACAUGUAUGCUAAGGCUAACGCCCAAUAUAUACAUACGGCCCAAGACAAAGGGUUCUACGCUUCCCACAAGGUUUUACAUGGUAACAGAGCCUCUUCCUCAUUAGAUCGAAAGAGAUUGCAUCUAGCUACCUCCGCGAGCGAUAUCAUGUCCACCACCGCCGCUGCCAUAACCCCAAGCACCAUGGGUGCACUCUCCACCACCUCAUCUUCCACCUUUGCCUCAUGGUCCACCUCCACCAACGCCACCUCCCUCGGAUCGCCACCACAAGAGAAGCUUAUGAGGGGCAACUUCCUGCUUUGGAAGGCCAUCGUGCUCCCGUAGAUCAGAGGCGCACAGAUGGAGCACCACCUCGAUGAGAAGAGCCCGCCACCGCCGGCCACUCUCACCAUCACCAAGGACGGCAAAGAAGAACAAGUCGUCAACUUUGCGAGAUCCCUUUGGUAUGCACAGCAGCAACAACUUCAAGGAUACUUGAUGGGUUCGUUUUCCCGUGAGAUUCUUGCCCAGGUCGCCACGCUCCAGACGCCGGCCGAGGUGUGGCGCACCAUCCACGCCAUGUUCGUUGCUCAAAGUCAAGCCCAAGCGAUCAACACUCGCAUCGAGCUUAUACCAACCUAAAAAAAGGUAACAUGUCCAUGGCUGACUACCUUGGUAAGAUCGAAAGUCUCACCGACGUGGUUGCAAGCUCUGCUGCGACACUCUCUGAUUCAGAGAUCGUCUCCAAAAUUCUCGCCGGCCUGGACAUGGAGUACAACCCGGUGGUCUCUGCGCUUGUCGCCAGGGUGGAGCCCAUCACCGUCCAGGAGCUCUAUAGCCAGCUACUCAGUUUUGAUGCCCGCCUCACCCUCCUCCAUGGCGCCGACCUUCGGCAAUCCUCCGUCAACUCUGCCUCCCGUGGCCGCGGCCGUGGGCACGGUCACUAGGGGCAACGUGGCGGUGGGCGUGGACGCGGCGCUCCUCAGGGCGAUGGUGCCCGCUCUAGUGGGGGGGGGGGGUCUGGCUCCAACGGCAGGGGCGGCUACAACACCAGCGGCAAUGGCGGCUUCAAUAACAACAACGGCCGCCGCCCUCCUUCCCGUGGUCGCCCUUGCUGCCAGCUUUGCCAAAAGCCUGGCCACGAGGUGAUUGACUGCUGGCAUCGGUUCGACGAGGACUUUGUACUCGACUCCCUCCAUGUUGCUGUUGCAAUACGUGAACAAGGCGGUGACAGCGUCUGGUACAUUGACUCUGGCGCUACGGACCACGUGACCAACGAGCUCGAGCAACUAGCCCUUCGUGAGCACUACCAUGGCAACGAUCAGAUUCACACCACCAGCGGUGGAGGUAUGGAAUUUUGUCACAUCGGUCAAGGCUCUAUUAAUUCCCCUACACUUAAACCGUGAUCUUGUUCUUAGAGAUGUGCUUCACGUUCCACAAGCUGACAAGAACCUUGCAUCCAUGUCUCAUUUAGCCACCGAUAAUAAUAUCUUCUUUGAAACUCACCCUCGUUAUUUUUUCAUCAAUGAUCGGGCAACGAGGGAACUUCUUCAUCACGGUAGAUGCGUUGGAGGGCUCUACCCCAUUCCAUCCGGAGCACUAGGUCGCAAGCAUCUUCAUGUUUACUCCGUCAUCAAGCCCUCUUUGGCAUGGUGGCAUCAACGAUUAGGGCAUCCAUCUUUGAACAUUGUCAAACAAAUAGUCAAUAAAGACAAUCUUUCUUUGUCUCAUAGUCGAAUUUGUGAGUCUGUCUGUGAAGCUUGUCAAUGUGCCAAGAGCCAUCAGCUUCCCUAUCCCAAGUCAACUAGUGUGUCACAUGCUCGGUUAGAAAUUAUUUUCAGUGAUGUAUGGGGCCAUGCCCGAGAUUCUUUUGGUAGGAAAAAAAUAUUAUGUCAGUUUUAUCGAUGAUUAUAGCAAGUUUACUUGGAUAUAUUUGCUUCGCUAUAAAUCUGAGGUUUUCUCUACUUUCCAAGAAUUUCAGAAACUUGUUGAGCGCCAAUUUGAUAGAAAAAUCCUUGUAGUCUAAAGUGACUGGGGAGGGGAGUAUGAGAAACUCAACUCUUUUUUCCGUAGCAUCGGGAUAGUUCAUCAUGUAUCUUGUCCUCAUGCUCAUCAACAGAAUGGCUCUGCUGAGCGCAAACAUCGCCACAUUGUUGAAGUUUGCCUUUCUCUCUUAGCUCAUUCUUCCAUGCCUCUCAAGUACUGGGAUGAAGCAUUUAUCACCGCCACUUACCUCAUCAAUAGGCUUCCUAGCAAAGUUAUUGGCAACACUACUCUGUUAGAGGGUCUCUAUCAUCAAAAACCUGAUUACAACUAUCUUAAAAUAUUUGGGUGUGCUUGUUAUCCAAAUUUGCAUCCAUACAAUCAUCAUAAACUUGAGUUUAGAUCCACUCAAUGUGUCUUUCUUGGCUAUAGUAAUCUUCAUAAAGGUUAUAAAUGCCUUGAAAUUUCUACUGGAUGCAUCUAUAUUUCUCGCUAUGUUGUUUUUGAUGAGACACUCUUUCCUUUUGCCAAACUACACCCCAAUGCGGGAGCCUUGCUUCGUGCAGAAAUUGCACUCCUUUUCGACUCUGCCACACUACCUGAUCACGGGGGUGAACUAAAUGAACUUGAUCAUGUACAAAAAUCCCAAGGAAAUUCUGAUUCUGUUGAUAUUUGUGCUAAUUCACGCUGUCAUUUUAUGUGUGAGGAAACAAACAAGGUGGGCACGGAACCUGCUGCUGAUCCGGCUAACAGUGCAUGAUCCCGGGCAGAUUCGCCCGCCCAGCCUGCUGUCUCUGGCAACGCGCGAUCCCACGAGGAUCCCCCCGUGUGCCCGGACUCACGUGGCCUGGUGGCCGACCGCACCGACCGGGUGGCGCCCACCGCGCCUGCAGCAUCGCCUCGCAUCGGUCCCGCCGCGCCUUCACCUACCACGUCUCCAUGCGUCGAGCCGCCUGCCAGCCCAUGUGCGGAGGGGGACGAAUCGCCUGUCGCCACGACUGCGCGGGCCUUCACAGCACUCGACCGUGGGUGCGGGCCUGACCCCACAGCGGCUGGUCGCGGGUGCGCGCCCGGUCCCUCGACUGAUUCGCUGCAUGGAUCCGCCUCGGUUCAGGAGCCGGCUGGGCUGUCACGUGCAUUGGAUCGGGAGCCGGCUGGAUCCUCUCUGGUAGCGAUUGCUCCUGUGCUCCCUACAUCUUCUCUUCGGCAAACAUGGUCUCGGUCAGGUAUUGUCAAGGAAAAACAGUAUAAUGAUGGUACGAUAAGGUAUGACAAAAUCAAACGUGCCUUUCUUACCACUACUGGUGAACCAAUUCACUUGCAUGACGCUCUUGCUAAUAAGGAUUGGAAGGAAGCUAUGGAUAAUGAAUAUAAUGCACUUAUGAAAAAUAAGACUUGGCACUUGGUUCCACCAAAGUAUGGAGACAAUGUUAUUGAUUGCAAAUGGGUGUAUAAUAUAAAAAGGAAGUCUGAUGGAAGCAUAGACAGAUAUAAGGCCAGAUUAGUUGCUAAAGGAUUUAAACAAAGGUUUGGAAUUGAUUAUGAAGAUACCUUUAGUCCUGUUGUUAAGUCAACUACUAUUCGUCUUGUCUUGUCUAUUGUUGUUUCUAGAUGGAGUCUAAGACAGCUAGAUGUUCAAAACGCGUUUCUUCAUGGUAUUCUUGAGGAAGAAGUGUUCAUGCGGCAACCACCAGGUUAUGAGAAUCCCAUCACACCACAACAUGUCUGUAAGUUGGAUAAAGCUUUGUAUGGUUUGAAGCAGGCCUCAAGAGCCUGGUAUUCCAGAUUGAGUAUGCAGUUGCAAUGCCUUGGGUUCAUACCAUCCAAGGCAGAUACCUCACUGUUCUUCUUUAAUAAAAGCAAUGUCACUAUCUUUGUGCUUGUUUAUGUUGAUGAUAUAAUUGUUGCUAGUUCCAGUUCAGAUGCCACUACUUGCUUGCUUAAGGAUCUCAAGUUGGAAUUUGCUCUCAAGGACUUGGGUGAUCUUCAUCAUUUUCUUGGUAUAGAGGUAAAGCAAGUUAAAGAUGGCAUACUUCUCUCAUAGGAAAAGUAUACAACAGAUAUUCUCAGGAGAGUAGGAUUGGAGAAUUGUAAGCCAGUCAAUACACCGAUUUCUACCUUAGAAAAACUUUCAGUGGAAAGUGGAGAAGUUCUUGGACUAGAGGAUGCAACAAAUUAUAGGAGUGUUGUAGGUGCUUUGCAAUAUUUAACACUCACUCGUCCUGAUAUAUCUUAUUCAGUAAACAAGGUAUGCCAGUAUUUACAUGCACCUAGAACUACUCAUUGGACUGCAGUCAAAAGAAUUCUAAGGUAUCUCAAGUUCUCAGAAGGUCUUGGACUUGAAAUUACCAAGUCUUCUUCUAUGCUUGUUACUGCAUACUCUGAUGCUGACUGGGCAGGAUGUGCUAAUGAUAGAAGGUCUACAGGUGAUUUUGCUGUGUUUUUGGGAACUAAUCUUGUGUCAUGGAGCGCAAGAAAACAGGCCACUGUUUCUAGGUCAAGCACAGAGGCUGGAUAUAAGGCAUUGGCUAAAGCUACAGCUGAAAUGAUGUGGAUAUAGACAUUACUCUAUGAGCUUGGAAUUAAGGCUCCACAGGCUGCAAGAUUAUGGUGUGACAAUAUUGGUGCAACUUAUCUCUCAGCAAAUCCUGUUUUUCAUGCACGGACAAAACACAUUGAAGUUGAUUUUCAUUUUGUCAGAGAGAGAGUAGCCCGAAAGCUUCUUGAGAUUGGUUUAUUCCCGCAGGAGAUCAACUCGCGGAUGGGUUUACGAAGCCUCUUACCGUGAGAAGGUUGAAUGAAUUUAAGUACAAUCUUAACCUUAGCAAAGCUCCUUGAGGUUCAGAUUGAGGGGGGGUGUUGGAAUAGACGUAUAGGAGAUGUAUAGGGAUAGGAGUUUGUUUAAAUUCUGUACUUCAUCUCUAUCUCUUCUUCUCUCCCGAUCUUUUUAUAACGACCGUCCUGGUCGAUCUCUCGAUCUCCUCUGUAACUUGUAUGCCAAGGCUAACGCCUAAUAUAUACAUGCGGCCCAAGACAAAAGGUUCUACGCUUCCCACAAGGUUUUACAAGCUCAUCACAAGCAAAUAAGCAGAUCUAGCUAGAAUAAUCUACUCAAGAUGUUUAGAGCAAUGGCGCACGAUGUUGGCGCAGCCCGAGGAGGAAGAAGCACACACAGGUCUGAAGGUAGAAGAAGAGCACACAGGGAGGUUUGCGGCACCGCACACACUUGUGCCUUUUUUCUGUUUCUUCUCGACGGAAAUGAACUGAGUACAUGGGUUUAAGUACCAGACCCACACAACACACACGCACACACUAACCCACUACGUUACAUGCAAACGCGACGGCCAAGCCAGCUGCUUGAUCCGAUUAUUCUUGCAUGUACAGGCUUGAGUCAGAUCCAAGUUUUCAACAGACUUGAGCUUGCCCACAACGGCACACUUAACGCAUGUCUCAACUGAAUGCGUCCGCUUCUAACUCCACGCUGAUCUGCCGCCGGACUCAGCCGCUCUUACUCCACGGAGCUAUACGCACAUGUUGCUAACAACCAUAUCCAUGCAAACUACACGACGUGCAUGCUACUGAUCAGCUGAUGCUAACUCAACUAACUAUCUAGGCAAUAUCAGCUUGCAUGCGUACUCGUCUCCACACUUUUACGAGCACGCUCACUGCCGCAGCCUCAAGCCUUCAACUUAACUACAUGCAUGAACGAACUAAUGCGACGAAAUAAAUAUUGAUGGAUACCUAGACAACAAGGUAAACUCUUUCAAUCACCCCCUUAACCUUGUUGUCGUUUAUUCGAACACCUCCAUGUCGAUCUUCAAAGCAGCCCCGGCUCGUCGUCAGCCGUCGCGGCAUCAAGAAGCGCCCGCUGCUUCCUUGGCUCGGUGCAGUCCUUGGAGUAAUGCCCGUACUCUUGACAGUUGUAGCAACGCACCUUGCAUAAGUCAAAGUUGCCCUUCUUCUUGCCGGCGCCGCUGCGGUGGUGAGCAAGCCACUCCUCCUCCGUGAGGAGCAGGCGACUCCCACCACUCUGGUCGUAGUUGCUGGCGCCCUCGUCCAAGUCGCUCCGGUCCUCCGCCGUUUUGAGCCUUCCCACAAGCUCUUCCAUGGACAUGGUUUUAAGAUCAAGAAGCUGUUCAAUGGCAAUGGCUAUCUGGGUAUACUUGGACGGCACGAUGCGGAGAAGCUUCUUCACGACCUUCACCUCGUCGAGGUUCUCGCCGAGCGUGCGCAGCUUGUUGGCGAUCCCGUUCAUGCGCAUGGCGAGCUCAUCGAGGGUCUCGCUGCUCCUCAUGCGGACGGCAUCAAACUCCUUGAGGAGAGUCUGCGCCUUGGCCUCACGGACGCGGGCAUCUCCGACCCGCAUGAUCUUGAUGGCAUCCCAUGCCUCCUUUGUCGUCGCCUUCACGGCAAGCGUGGAGUGCAUCUCCUCUGGCACGGCUCGCAGAAUUGCCGCAAACGCCGCCCCGUCCUGGCUGAAUGUCCCGCCUCCCUCGAUGGCGUCCCACACGCGUUGGGCCUCCAUGUUCACCUUCAUGAUCAGCGACCACUCGAAGUAGUUCGUCGCCGUCAGCGACAGGUAGACGACGGUGCUGCUGGCCUGGUGGACGACCUCCUGCUGCACCACCACCUCACGGCAGCCACGCCGCGUCAGGCUCCGGCCUCGGCACACCACCGGCGAGGCCGAGACACGGCGAGGCCGAGACACGGCGGCGACCCGGCGACGGAGUGCGCGAACCUUCAGUCACCAUGGCUCUGAAUACCAAAUGUUGGCGCAGCCCGGGGAGGAAGAAGCACACACAGGUCUGAAGGUAGAAGAAGAGCACACAGGGAGGUUUGCGGCACCGCACACACUUGUGCCUUUUUUCUGUUUCUUCUCGACGGAAAUGAACUGAGUACAUGGGUUUAAGUACCAGAUCCACACAACACACACGCACCCACUAACCCACUACGUUGCAUGCAAACGCGACGGCCAAGCCAGCUGCUUGAUCCGAUUAUUCUUGCAUGUACAGGCUUGAGUCAGAUCCAAGUUUUCAACAGACUUGAGCUUGUCCACAACAGCACACUUGACGCACGUCUCAACUGAAUGCGUCCGCUUCUAGCUCCACGCUGAUCUACCGCCGGACUCGGCCGCUCUGACUCCACGGAGCUGUACGCGCAUGUUGCUAACAACCAUAUCCAUGCAAACUACACGACGUGCAUGCUACUGAUCAGCCGAUGCUAACUCAACUAACUAUCUAGGCAAUAUCAGCUUGCAUGCGUACUCGUCUCCACACUUCUACGAGCUCACUGCCGCAGCCUCAAGCCUUCAACUUAACUACAUGCAUGAACGAACUAAUGCGACGAAAUAAACAUUAUGGAUACCUAGACAACAAGGUAAACUCUAUCACACGAGACACGACCUUCCUCUGAGGUACUAGCAUUUGCAAAUAAACUGCAUACUGAAUCUUUGCUUCUCUUGGAAGAACACCGGAGCUUUCGUGCCUCCCAAACUGAUGUGGUUGGGAAUGUAGGGGUAAGAUGGGCGCUGCCGCGGUGGCCAUCUCGUCGGGCGUCGGCCUCGCUCGCUUCUCCAGGGCCCCGAGUUCCCAGAGGUGCAUGCCAUGCCAUGGAAUCUUUGUUUCCUCUUCUUGGUUCUAGUUUGGGUUAUGUCGUGGCGUCGCCAAUGGCUAGCUAGAGGCCGCACUUAACUGUGUUUGCUGCGGGGAGAACGAUGCAGGCUGGCCGGGAAGGUGGCCGUCAUCACCGGCGCCGCCAGCGGCAUGGGCAAGGCGACCGCCGCGGAGUUCGUCAGGAACGGCGCCAAGGUCAUCCUCACCGACAUCCAGGACGACCUCGGCCGCGCAGUCGCCGCCGAGCUUGGCCCCGACGCCUCCUACGCGGCUACGCCCGCUGCGACGUGACCGACGAGGCGCAGAUCGCCGCGGCCGUCGACCUCGCGGUGGCGCGCCACGGCCGGCUCUAUGUCCUGCCUGCACAACCACGCCGGGAUCGCCGGGAGGAUGACCAUGGAUUCCGUGGCGUCCCUCGACCUCGCCGACUUCGACCGCACCAUGGCGGCCAACGCCCGGUCCGCCGUCGCCGGGAUCAAGCACGCGGCACGCGUGAUGGUGCCGCGCCGGAGCGGGUGCAUCAUCUGCACGGCGGGUGCUCGGCGGCGUGAACCCCGCGUACUGCAUCUCCAAGGCCGCCGUGAUCGGCGCCGUCCGGGCGUUGGCCGGGGAGCUGGGGAGGCAGGGCGUGCGCGUGAACGCCAUCUCGCCGCAUGGCAUCGCGACGCCGUUUGGGCUGCGUGGGCUGGCGGAGCUGCUCCCGGAGGCGAGCGAGGAGGAGCUGAGGCGGAUGGUGGAGUCGGGCAUGAACGAGAUGGGCGGGGCGGUUCUGGAGGUGGAGGACAUCGCGCGGGCGGCCGUGUACCUGGCGUCCGAGGAGGCCAGGUAUGUCAACGGGCACAACCUCGUCGUCGACGGCGGGUUUACUGUGGGGAAGCCCGAUCCGGUGAGGAGUGAGUGACAGGCAUGGCCGUAAGAUCUUGUGCGUUGUCCCGCCUGCGCCUAGUACACAAUGUGCUUUAUUUUUACUACUAUGGGAGUGUCUAAGGCUUAUCGAGAUUUGAUAUGGUUAUACUUCCUACGUUCUCAAAUAUUUGUCUUUCUAAGCGUUUCAAAUGGACACAACAUAUAAUGUACGUAUGUUGACAUAUUUUAAAGUGUAGAUUCAUUCAUUUUGUUUCGUAUGUAAUCACUUGUUAAAAUCUUUAAAAGACAAAUAUUUGGAAAUGGAGGGAGUAUGUCACAUGUAAGAAGAUGUCAUCGUACAUCGUUAGAUUGUGAUCAUGUCCUUCACAUCUAUCUAUCCACACCUUUAUGCGUUGUUUUCUGUUUGCACUGACAUCUUUUUUCUUUUGCGUUGACAUCUUGUAUUUUUUUAACACAGUACAACGUACAUACAGACAUGCAAACUUACCUUAUGAAUGCAUCCGCAUACACUCUAUCCUUUUGAGCAUAUUCGAGAUACUGAGCUGGCGUUGUUGUUGCUGUUGCUGUUUUUUCCUUUUUAGGGGUUGUUUUUUUUGUUGAUUUUAGGGGUUGUUGUUUAAUUGUCUCACAAUUGAUUGGGCUGGGUCAGCCUGCUUUGUUAUUUUGAUUGUUUCUAAGAAAAAUCACACGCUUUUUUAUGUGUGUUCUGGGCCAGUUUGCGGCUGGUUUUGCCCUCCUCUAAGUCCAGAAGGUGUUCUCGAUGAUGAGUCAUGCGGGAAGCGCUGGUGCCACUCUGCCAUGGCGUACUCGGCUGCCUCGACGAUGAGGAGGCAACGCUCCCGCCUACGGUGUUCGCGGAGGCCCUCAUCGGUUAUUGGCCGCGGCGGAGGCGCGAGGUCCUGCGCCUGUUGGCACGUCCGCAAGUCGUCGAAGUUCAUCUACGAACGUGGCCUCCAAAGGCGCCACGCCGUCGCGUCGUACGCGCGAGCGGCCUCAUGGGCGGUCUCGAACAUCCCGAGACCGAGACGCACGCCACCAAGCGGAUCUCGGCGUAAAGCAUGCUGGAGGGGAGGGCACGGACGCCGCGGUAGCCGGAGAUGCUCCGGGCGCGCGGCGGCAUGUCGACUGUGGGGGAAAAGGCGCGGCGGCGUCAAGAGAAGGACGCGGCGGCAGUGGCGGGGCGCUGGAUGCGAGGAAGAAGGGGGUGGCAGGCAGUGGCGGAGCCGGGGGGCGAGCAGGGGCCUGGAUCGAUAGUUUCGUAAGAGGCUACGAGUUGCCCCCCCUUAACGCAAAAGGAAUAUAGGUACUUGGCCCAUAAAAAAGCCCAUCAGUGGCCAGAGACUCUAGUGCUUGGCCCCUGGCCUUACCCUAAAUCAAGCCAACCCCAGCGUAAUUAACUUCUGACCUGUGGCGAUUACCGUUGCCGGCGGCCGCUGCCCUCGUGCCCUCACUACUGUGCUUUUUUUUUUUUACCAAUCCCGGUUCAGGGGGAAUGACAUGCUUUGAAAUUACAAGAUAUUCUACACUGAUAGUAAUGUUCCAAUACAAAUGUAACUAUAUUUUAAUCAAUUUAGCUAAUACGCAUCUAGAUGUGCCUAAGUCUUGUACAUCCAGGUCCAUUGAUAUUGAUUAUUUCUUAUGCAAAGAUUUGUGUUUUUUUGUCUUUGUAUGUUUGAUCGAAUCACUUACAUGUGCAAUAACUAAGACAUAUAUAGAUAUGCCCUAGAUAGACCCUAUUUUAAUUGUAUUGAAGCGACACAUUAUUACAAUAUUAUGGUACUUAUUUUUUCACGGUGCACACUUUUUUUAAUCAACUUGGCUUGGCCCCCUCUAUACUCAAAUUCUGGCUCCGCCCCUGGUGGCAGGGACGAAGAAAGACGCUGGAGUGGCGGUUGGCGGGCUCGGGCGUGUGCGUUUUAUAGAGCGCACGCGGCCGCUUUUUCACGCGCGCGAUUUUUUCCCGGCGCACCGGAGUCUACCGCGCUUGCUGGAGCGCGUGAAACCGCUCCUCGCGCGAUAUAUAUCGCCGCUGUUGGAGAUGCUCUAAGGCUUUAUUUCCCAGGUUUUUUCCUACUCAACAACCAAAUGUGAGCCCAAAGUGUUGGUGGAUUUUACUUGCCGGUAUUAUCAGCACUGCAUUCGGUUGAUGCUGCCGCAUCUUUACUGUUACUGUACGUCUAAGAACGAGUUGGAAAUAUGCACCUAGUUUGACCAUGGUCUUUAUGUCAAACAACGGCCGGCUCGUCGCCAAAAUCUAAAUGAUGGUCAUCUCCUUCUACUACUACUCCCUCCGUCAAAAAAUACUUGUCCGCAGAAUGGAUGUAUCUAGAUGUAUUUCAAUUCUAGAUACAUCCUUUAUAUUCAUUUUUACGACAAGUUUUUUCGGACGAAGGGAGUAGUAUAUAACAUCUGGAUUUGCACGGCACUAAAGCCACCUAUAUAAGGAUCAACAUUUGUCAUCGUAGAAACGACAUGGUUGCAUGGCAAACUCCUGAGACGCACCAGUCUAAAACACUGAAACGAGGAGCAUUCAUAUCCGUUACAGGAACAAAGCAAAAAAUGUACUUGAGCGGUUGAGCCUAGACCUACUACUGGUUUGAAAAAUUUAAAGUCUCAAAUCAUCAUACGGGGAAGAAGAUUCCAAUGAUUGAUGGCCAUAACCAUCAGCCAUGCAUGUUACAAAAAAAAGAGGGCGUCGAGAAUUUCAGCGCAGCUUUGAGAGCACGAUCAGAGCUUCGUGGAGACCAUGGUACAGGAUUUCUUAUCUGAAAGCAAAUGAGGCUGCUGGAUGUUACAUCCCCCAAAACUCCAGUUCACGCCUGGCGAAUUCUUUCAUCUGCUUCUGGCUACGGAG